GGAGGAUGAGCUUUUCUCAUAUGUGUAUUAGGUCUAUCAGUUGAUUAUCGUCAGUGCUGAAGAUUAGAGCAUCCUAGCAAUUGAAUGUAUUUGGAUUUUUUUAAGACACGUAUUUUACAACUUCUUGAAUUGAGAUCAGAGUGAAUAAAAAGUUAGUGGUACAAGAGACCUGCUUGUCACCUCUCCUGUCUCUGAAAUACGAUUUAUGAUGAAGAUAAACGAUUACAAUAGCAUUUGAAACCAGAUUAACACCAGAGGUGCGGUCCUGCCCAUCAGCCAACACAUGCAGGUGGAGCAGUGUUGGUCUGAAAUACUGGAGCAGUCAUGGCUGAUUGGCAGGUGGAAACAGUAGAAGCUGUGUGUGCCGUGCUUGGCUU